UUCUAGGUUGCAGUAGAGUGCGUUUGUAGCUAUCCCCAUCAAAUUUGUAUAGUUUGAUACAAAGGUAAAACAGCCGGCAGGAUUUCGAAUGAGGUUGCGAUAAUAAAAUGUCAUGGGGUUUGGUUGCAACCUCGAGGUCCGCCUUCUUCCCAACCUUUAUGAUGCUUGGUGCGUGAGUCGGAGACUGGUUAUCUCCAAGUCCGGUUAAGGUUGUGGUCACCCCAAUUUGGAAAAAGCAGCACUUUCGAAAAAAGCAAAAAACAAAAUGAAAGAAAAGAGAAAAGAAGAUGAAAAGCAAAGAAAAGCGAGUGAAAGCUAGUGUAUAUAGUAGAUUAUAGUUAGUAGUAUAGUCAUGCAAGCAAAGUAUAGGAGGGUACUAGCAUUGCUUGAGUGCUUUGAUUUGUAUGAAAAACUUAUUGUAAAGCACCUUCCCCCUCAGGUUAGGAAGAGAAAGCCAGGCUAGGACGAGCCGUCAGUCUGUUAUUGUAUCUGUUAGCUAGGUAACAUAAGUGUUUGCAAGGUUAUGG
rnacentral:lncRNA from 1 species